UACGUAGGGUGCAAGCGUUAUCCGGAAUUAUUGGGCGUAAAGAGCUCGUAGGCGGUUUGUCGCGUCUGCUGUGAAAACUCAGGGCUUAACCCUGAGCCUGCAGUGGGUACGGGCAGACUAGAGUGUGGUAGGGGAGAUCGGAAUUCCUGGUGUAGCGGUGGAAUGCGCAGAUAUCAGGAGGAACACCGGUGGCGAAGGCGGAUCUCUGGGCCAUAACUGACGCUGGAGGAGCGAAAGCAUGGGGAGCGAACAGGA
rnacentral:rRNA from 1 species